UGUUAUGGCGGCCGUGCGCGGGAGAUCUUCGGAUCUGCCGGGGUUCUGGUAACUCGGUCUUGCACACCCGCGUACGGCUGCCACCUUA
rnacentral:antisense_RNA from 16 species